UUUUUGGGAAGCGGUGGUGGCCGAGUGGAUAUGACGUCCGACUUUCAAUCCGGAGGUCACAGGUUCAAAUCCUGGCUCGUACCAAUGAGUUAUUCGGAACUUAUGUACGAAAUAUCAUUUGAUAUUUACCACUAGCUUUUCGGUGAAGGAAAACAUCGUGAGGAAACCUGCAUACAUCUGCGAAGAAAUUCAAAGGUGUAUGUGAAGUCCCCAAUCCGCAUUGGGCUAGCGUGGGGACUAUAGCCCGAGCCCUCUCGCACAUGAGAGGAGGCCUGUGCCCAGCAGUGGGACGUAUCUAUAUACGCUGAAUUAUUAUUAUUAUUU